ensembl:lncRNA
AAUCAACGCACCGGGAGCCCAACAAACCCGAUGCAGACAGAAUGUCUCUAUGAAUUCACAGCCUUUUGGUCUCUAAAACAAACAUACAGGGGUUGUUGCAUACAUUUCUCCCCGAAACUCAUUCCGUACUUUUCGAUAGUUAGGGACAGAACUAUUUUUAACACGGUUAGCCCUGCUUUAGCGCAAACCCAAAGGCCUGAAUAUUUAGCUGCCCGGACAGAUUAAAAAAUAUAUUCUGAAUAAGUGAAUCUCUCAUAAUGGAUAUUUCUGGAGCCUUUACGCGAUUUACCGGAUCUGGAGCAACAUGAGGAGGCUCAAAAGUCAGACAGUCAGUCAGUCGCCAUCAGCCUUUUUUCGUUCCGACAUACAGCCAAGAAUGAUAAAGGAUUCGUUAUGGACAUCUGACACUGGGGACUUAGAUGCAAUUCUACCGUUCUGUACGACCGAUUUUUCAAACUCACCGAGAAUACAGGGAACGUCGACUCCCUCCAGACAUAUUCCCGACCCCAACAGGCAACGAACAACUGUGGCCCAAGUACAUUGCUCAGAUUCAACGCCACCCGAAAACUACUGUUGGGCUGGGAACUUGCUGCUUCACGAUCCGGCGCUCCAGGGACACGACUGCCCGGAGACAGCCCCUGCAGAAUCUGGAACGCUAGAGGAAAAAAGUCUAGAGCCCUCAGGAUCCUCAAUUCGUCAGAACAAGCGCCUAAAAAGCCGAGGCUGGAGUUCCGUGGUUGUCAUACGUGAAGAGCUUUGGCGGUCUGCGUUCACUGUUGCGGUCACUUUGAGCUGGUAACAGAGGAGCUGCAACUUCUUUGUCCACGGGUAAGUCCACUGUUUGUUCAACAGGUAAGUCCACUGUUUGUUCCACUUUGAUCUGAGUCUCUUCUGGCAGAGGCAUUGGGUUGUCCACAGAUGUGUCCUGUUCGGGUUCCACUACGUGUUCGGCUGGUUCUACAUCAGUACUUUCACUUCUUUCUGGGUACGUCCAAGACGGUAUUUCAUAUCUGUAGUAUUCAUCAUUGUCCUGUUUGAGUUCUUCCAUUUGUCCGUUCAUUUUGCUUGUUCAUCUUCACUUUGACUUGGAGUUUUGCUGUUUUUGAACUUUCAGAGGAAGGUUGUCAAACAGUAAGAGUAGGUUGUGAUGCAAGUCUCGUCAGACAUUCCUUUUCCUUGCUCUGGUUUCAGUUAGUAGAUUAGAAGGUCUUCUCCCACCUGGCAUACAAGUGUAUGAAUGUUGUCUUCUCAGUGAUUCUGAAGUUUGCCUGUACCUCCACGUGGUGUCAUGUUUCUGAUGAGGAAAUGAUCGCCUGGCUGCAACACUAAAGUUCUGACUUUGCUGUCGUAGUUUCUUUUGCCCGUCGGCUGACUUUUUAAACUUCUCCCUUGCGAUUCCGUAUGCUUCCUGCAUUCCUUAUUUCCAUUUAUUAGUGUACUUCUAAUGAUUGCGGUUUCCUGACCCCGAGUUCAAGUUGAAGAGAACGUUAAUGGGUGGUCUGUAUAUUCGUCAAUACAGGAGGUAAAAUGGAGAGAAUCCUGUCACCUCACAGCGAGUACAGUUGCAUACAUGCAGCAGAUUGAUCAGGGACUCUUUCCAGUUUGUUUUCCCUCUGUCUGUGAUUGUCUUGAGCAUCUAUAAUAAUGUUAUAUUAAUGCGUUCCAUUCCCCUGUGGAUGGUAGGGAGUUGUCCUUAACCCUACAACACUGUACUUUUGUAGGAACUGCAGUAGCUGGUUUUCGAAUUCUCCUACUUGAUUGUGAUAUAUUCUUGUAGGAAAUCCGAACUUCAAAGCGUAGUCAUUGAAGAUCCUGUCAGUCACUGUUUUGCCUGAUUUUAUAGGUUGUAGCAUAGGCCUGGGCAAAGCGUGUGAAAGUGUUGAUUAUCACUCAUAACCGCCCUUGUAUUUGUCUAAGUGGGGAAAGUCUAUUGAUACAAGUUCAAACGACUGAGUUGUCACUAUGUUGGUCAGUGGUGCUCUCAUUUCACAGCAAGGUUUUUUCUCUUUCAGGCAGCUUCUCAUGACACGAUGCUCUAUCUCUCUUUGCAUGUACGGCCACAAGAACCUGUCUCGUAUCAGCAAAGUUGUGCGAUCUACACCCUCCCACUCUGUCUGCCGAAUUCUGUCUCUUUGCUCUUGUUUUCCUUAACAGGAUGUCGGUGGGCGGAGCCGGGAGGGUCGUCAGAGAAAUGGGACACACCUGGGCUCAGGUGUGUCCUAGGAUAAAUACACCACUUCCCCAUUCACAGAGGAGACUCUCUCCAUGCAGACGCAGACAGAAUUUGAUUGUGGCAUUUUUGUGGCUAUUUGGUUUGUUUGCAUUGGCACCUUUCAACACCCCUCAUUAUCACAUGUAUAAACGCGACUACUGACUAAACACACAGCAUUGUUAAUUGUGUUUACUUUACUUCAGUUAAAUAAAUAUAUUUUGUUAUUCUUUAUCUCCACAUUGUCUCCCUUUUUGUUAUGGGCUUUGAGCCGGUUCGUGACAAGUGGGGGCUCAUCCGGG